rnacentral:rRNA from 1 species
AACGAACGCUGGCGGCGCGUUUUAAGCAUGCAAGUCGAGCGGCAAGGGUAGCAAUACCCCUAGAGCGGCGGACGGGUGAGUAACACGUGGACAACCUGCCCUUAGGUGAGGGAUAGCCCAGGGAAACCUGGAUUAAUACCUUAUAAGACCACUGAUAGGAGUAUGAGUGGGGAAAGGUGCUACGGCGCCGCCUGAGGAUGGAUCUGCGUCCCAUUAGCUAGAUGGCAGGGUAAGGGCCUACCAUGGCGACGAUGGGUAGCCGGCCUGAGAGGGUGAACGGCCACACUGGAACUGAGAGACGGUCCAGACUCCUACGGGAGGCAGCAGCUAAGAAUCUUCCGCAAUGGGCGCAAGCCUGACGGAGCGACGCCGCGUGAACGAUGAAGGCCGCAAGGUUGUAAAGUUCUUUUCGGGAAGGAGAAUAAGGGGAGCAGGCAAUGGCUUUCCGAUGCCGUGAAUCCCGGAAUAAGCCCCGGCUAACUACGUG